rnacentral:rRNA from 1 species
UACGUAGGGUGCGAGCGUUAAUCGGAAUUACUGGGCGUAAAGCGUGCGCAGGCGGUUCGUGAUGUCUGAUGUGAAAGCCCCCGGGCUCAACCUGGGAAUUGCAUUGGAAACUAGCGGGCUGGAGUGUGGCAGAGGGGGGGUGGAAUUCCACGUGUAGCAGUGAAAUGCGUAGAGAUGUGGAGGAACACCGAUGGCGAAGGCAGCCCCCUGGGCUAACACUGACGCUCAUGCACGAAAGCGUGGGGAGCAAACAGG